rnacentral:rRNA from 1 species
UACGUAGGGCGCAAGCGUUGUCCGGAAUUAUUGGGCGUAAAGAGCUCGUAGGCGGUUUGUCGCGUCUGCUGUGAAAACGCGAGGCUUAACCUCGCGCCUGCAGUGGGUACGGGCAGACUAGAGUGCGGUAGGGGAGACUGGAAUUCCUGGUGUAGCGGUGGAAUGCGCAGACAUCAGGAGGAACACCGGUGGCGAAGGCGGGUCUCUGGGCCGUUACUGACGCUGAGGAGCGAAAGCAUGGGGAGCGAACAGG